rnacentral:misc_RNA from 1 species
ACAGCUUAAAAAAAAAAAAAAAAACACUAUGACUUCCUCAUGAAACACAGAAAGUUCAAGAAUAUGUUUAUGAAUUAUGAAGCAGCAGACAACUACUAGGAAUAUCCAGGAACUGUGUCCAAAAUGUAAAAGUUCCCCAGUUUUUAAUAGCAUAGAUGCUAAUAAAGAUGUUCACCAGAAGACACAUAUAUCUAAAGCUUUUAUGUCUUCAUAAAAAAUGGCCAGAUAUUCAUCAAAAUCUACGAAUCCUAUGUCAUCCCAACCCCUGGUUCUUAUCCAAAACAGUAUAUCCAAUCUCCUUCAAAAAGUUUUGAGUGCCAAUCAUAAAAUUAUAAACGAUCCAUGUUCCCAACAAUAAUUAAAAAGCAGGUCUUCAUCCUGUUGGACUAAGCCAGUUCAGAUUAGGAAAGAAAAUCAAAUAACCAACUUAGAGGCUGAUUCCAAAAGUAUGAAACUAGAUCAGAGAAUGAAACCAACCACUAGGAAAUUAUAGAACCAACUAAACACAGGGGAUGGGGGGACAAAUUAGGAGACAGAAAUCCAGUGCAACAGUUAGGUCUAAAUUCCUCACUGAACCUUUCCAAAUGGAUACUUUGAUGGUACAUGAUAUACAUAUCCAUUACAUAUAGGUAUGACUGAUUCUGCGCUACGAAUAUAAUACUGAAGAGCCAAGGUUGGUUUUGUAGCUUAUGUUCACACAGUACAAUAGUAGGCAAUGCAAUUACCAAAAACAGAAAGAAACAAGAAAAGUUAACUCCAACAUAAAGACAUGACAAAAACAAUUUAUUCAUGGACAGAAAAUACAAAGAACCAUCA